rnacentral:rRNA from 1 species
GACGAAGGGGGCUAGCGUUGUUCGGAAUUACUGGGCGUAAAGCGUGCGCAGGCGGUUUGUUAAGUCUGCUGUGAAAUCCCCGAGCUCAACUUGGGAAUUGCAGUGGAUACUGGCAGGCUGGAGUAUGGUAGAGGAAGGUGGAAUUCCCGGUGUAGCAGUGAAAUGCGUAGAGAUCGGGAGGAACACCAGUGGCGAAGGCGGCCUUCUGGACCAAUACUGACGCUCAUGCACGAAAGCGUGGGGAGCAAACAGG